CGGGACGUAGCUCAGCUUGGUAGAGCACUUGGUUUGGGACCAAGGGGUCGCAGGUUCGAAUCCUGUCUUCCCGA
rfam:Sporosarcina psychrophila strain DSM 6497, complete genome.